CAUGGAUAUACGGGACGGUAAAACUAUUCUCCUCUUAAUUACUGCUUGCAUCGGACACGUACCAGGGAAGAUCAUUAGACCAUUGGAUAGCAAGUUAAACAGAUACCAGAGCACUGUACCGACUGAAGUCAUAACUGAAAUAUAUUAUGUCACUGAUCAAACAACUACAAAAUCUACUAGUAGUGUAUCCACGGGUACAACGGGAACUCCGCUCUUAGAUCCUACACUUCUGCCAUCAAGCGAGUCACCAUCACAAACUACAACCGUUGUGUUGGCAACUUUGACAAGAGAAUCCACAAGGACUAUCUCAAUCUUAACCACCUUCCGAAAGACAACGGUAUCGCCUACUGGCAGUUAUUCUCCAUUUACGAGCGCGACAAAGAACCAACAUUUCCAAGCAACAAGUGAACAUUUUUCGACAGAUGAUUCUAAAUUCACCAGUCCAAGCCAUGGCCACACAGAUCCCCCUUUGACAUCAUCCUUUUUGGCUAGUACAGACCAGUCAGGUACAUCCAUAAGAAUGAUGUCAACAUUGGCUAUAUCACAUCAGCUAGAGUCACUCUAUGUUGCCGAAGACAGAAUCAAUGAGGACAGAAUUUCCUCGGACGGAAUCAAUAAGGACAGAUUUACCAAAGAUAGAAGACCUUAGGACAGAGCCACUCAUGAGGACAAGGAGACCUAUUCAAUACAGAGAGGAAUGGCAACCCUGGAACUGAUGAACCACAUGUUACAGAAGAACCCUCGGUGUGGCACAACCCUACAGCUUUCUUUUCACUUGCUGUCUCCAUAGUCUUCCUCAUUCUCAUCAUGUUGAUAAUCUGCUGCAUCAUAUGCCACCAGAUGAAGGAUGCAACCAAGACAGAAGAUGGGUAUAACCAGAGGUUCAUUUUACUACAGAUGCAUGCUCUUCGACGUGUUGGACCGAGCCCUGGUGUCCAGGCUCUACCACAGAGUGAGAUAGAGAUGGGGUAUGUAUCAGAACAGAACUGGGAUGAGAAAGAGAUGGAGAGACCCAGUAUACCAAUCAUUGCCUGGCUUUGAGAAGUCCACCUAAACUGGGAUGAGAAAGAGAUGGAGAGACCGAGUAUACCAAUCAUUGCCUGGCUUUGAGAAGUCCACCUAAACUGGGAUGAGAAAGAGAUGGAGAGACCGGGUAUACCAAUCAUUGCCUGGCUUUGAGAAGUCCACCAAAACUAAGAUGAGAAAGAGAUGGAGAGACCGGGUAUACCAAUCAUUGCCUGGCUUUGAGAAGUCAACUCAACCUUCCUUGUCUUUAUUCUUUGUUUCUUGGUACUAAUGAGAUGGUAACAGGCAGCUUGCCAUACAGUUGGAAUGGAGUUGGUACUGCAACCAAUAUUUGCUGGGAAAAAGUGUAAAACCAAGAAGCGUAAAAACAGGACUCGGAUGAGUAGAUUGUUGAUGGUCUUAAAUGUACAUCUAGAAAAUAGUUUGCAUAAAUUAAUGGAUUUCCUGCCGGUACGCUCAUGAUCAUUGGCUUCGCCCAUGUAGUUACCUGAAUAAUCUAUCAUCACAUUUACUAAAUCAUCUAGGAUGCCAAUUACGAAAUCAUUAAAAAAUUGUUAAAGAACCUACUUAGCAAUUUUAGGUAUCAUUAAAAAUCCUUUAAGAAGUCAGAAAAACACGAACUAGAGAACUCAUAUCCUAUCAGACUGACAGGCCACAUGACCAAUAAUACCAAGUAAUGCCAAUCUGCUGGACCAUGAGAAAAGCUGUCAGAAGGCCCAUGAGAGCGACAUGCUGGUUUCGUGGAUUGUUGAUUCUGUGGGCCUUCUCAGUUCUCUUCAGACGGCCAGUCGAUAUAUUGGUCUCUCAUUCUUGUGGGCCGUAGCAAUUCCUGUCCCUUUAAAUGCCUUUAUAAGUAAACUCAAAAUAAAGACCUAAAGAUUAUUGAUAGAUAAGAUUGGUUGCAAUCACAGACAAGUUAAUACAUGUCCAUACACCUCUCACUUCCCUUUGUUAUGCCAAACACACACAAUCAUUAAAGGGACUGGUUAAUACAUGUCCAUACACCUCUCACUUCCCUUUGUUAUGCCAAACACACACAAUCAUUAAAGGGACUCGUCAUUUUACUCCAUUAUAUCAUCAACAAGUUUAUUUUAGAUAUCACAUCUCAUGUUUGAUAAAAAACUGUACUUACAUAAUAAUAAGAUGUUCAUAAUCAAUCAAUUUCUGUUCCUUUUUUCCAUUUAAUUAUUAUUUUAAAGUAAAAAUACACGACAUUCUAAUGUGACACUUACACGAUAUUGCAAGAUAAAACCCUGUGUGUUAUUUGUACAUGGGCUCGGAACCUGCCCAAAGAAAAGGUUUACAAGGAAAAAUAGCAUGUAGUGAAACAAUUGCCAUGGUACAAGCACAAAAGUAAGAAUGACUUUUUACUGAAAGUUUGAGCAAAACUGGACUUGGAAAUUCAUAGAUCUCUGAAUGUGGAGAGUAUUUAUAUGCAUUGUCAUGUGAGCAGACUUUUCAUAUUAUGGUGUGAACUCAAUUAUUUGUUGAUUACAGUAAAUUAAUGAAACUGAAAAUAAUGUUACACACGAAGGAAUAAUAGUGGUUUAAUGAUGUAUUUUCUGUAUUAUUUUAUAGAUAGGACAUUCAGCAUUGGUCUAUAAUUUCAUUACUCAGAAGAAACAGAACGAAAAGAAUUUAUUGUGAUGGUUCUUUGUACAACAUCACAUGCGAAUUCUCACUUUAUAUGUAGUAUAGAGCUAUAUUAAAACUGACAUGUACACAAGUAAACUUGACUUUCACAAAUUCAAAGUGUAUUAUUCAGUGUCUACUG
rnacentral:lncRNA from 1 species